CCUGCUAGGUGGCUGCCUUCUUAGAGUACAGAGCACGCUGCCUCGCUGCCCUCCAUCAGAAACCCCCAGGGCCUCCUGAGCUAGUGCAAGACUCCGGCCUUGUGGAAAAAAAGCCCAAGAAAGCCCGGGGCAAUUGCCGGGGAGGAUGGCCGUGCCCUGGGAGGAAUAUUUCCGACUGGCCUUGCAAGAGAAAAUAUCUUUGAAGAUCCCAGGGCAAAAUGUGGAGCACCUCCCACCAGUGCUGCAUCUCCUGGAGAAGAGGCGGGAGCUGGUGGAUGUGGACCGGAGCCUGCAGGCCCAGAAGGAGGUGUUCCAGACCACCAUGGCAGUGCUGAAACAACGCUGGGAACAGGUGAAACAGAAGGAGCGGGAGCUAAAGGGAUCUUUUGUCCACUUUGACAAGUUCUUGCAGGACACGGAGGCCCGGCGCAGCCGCGCACUGCAGAGGGCGGCGGAGGAGCGGCGGCGGGCGAGCCGCCAGGAGGCCGAGGCGCUACGGCUCCGGGCCCAGCUGGAGAAGCUGCGGCGGGAGCGCGCGGAGCUGCAGCACCGGGUGCAGCGCCUGGAGCCCUGCGCGCGCCUGCUGGGGCAAGUGCUGGAGCUGCUGCCCGAGUUCCAGAGGGUUCCCGAGCUGGUGGCUCGCUUUGAAGGCCUGGCUGAUAUGCAGGUGGCACUGAGACUCACAGAGCGCCAGCGGCUGGAGGAGCUGGAGGAGGCCCGCGGGCGGCUGCAGCAGCUGCGGGACGCCUGGCAGGACGAGGUGCUUAGGCAGAGCCAGCAGCGAGUGCAGCUGCUGGAGCGCCUGGAGGCUGCGAGGGAGCGCACACUGUGCUGGGAAUCCAAGUGGAUUCAGAUCCAGAACACAGCGGCAGCGAAGACCCUUCUCCUGGGACGCACUAGAAUGGCAGCGCUCAACCUCUUCCAGCUAGUGUGUCAGCACAAGAGGCAGCCACCUGCCCUGGACAUUGAGGACACCGAAGGGCAGCUGGAGCAGAAAUAUAGUUUCCUUCUCAAAUGUUUCAGUGACAAACGUGAAGGGAGAGCCCAAGGGUGAAACUGUUCAUACUGGACCGGUCCUCCAUGCUGACCAGUUUUCGUCGGGCCCAGUCCACCCUUGACCCAGCUGGGAAGCUGCGUUAAGGAGGCUGCGUGCGUGACCAUGAUGCCCUAGAUGCCAGUGGGCAGGGAGCAGAUCCAGAUCCUGCAUCCCCUCCAGCAGAUCCAGGUACCACCGCUACAGAGUGGGGCAGCAGAAGCUGCUGGGUGCUGCCCCCCACAUCCCGAGUACGCAGUGCCCUGGCCCUGAUCCCACUCCCAACUCUAGGAGAUGCAGAGGUAGAAGCUGCUGGGCCCCACCCCUGGCCCCACCCCUGGCCCUGCCCCUUGGGAUACAGGUCCCGUUUGUAGGAGCUGCUGAUGUAGCGCCCACUCUCUGUCUUGAUCUUUUUCUUGUCUUCCUGUCCUGACUGUCCCACAAACUGCUUCUUCUUCCGGUCCCUGCAGGAGAGGGAGUUGAGAGAGCUACUAGGGAAGGAGAUGGCCUGGAGCAGCCCUCUUCCCCUCAGCGCUUUUCCUCCCCACCUCCCCAAGGGAAGCAGCCUGCCCAUGUCUAGCAUACAGCAAGUGCUCUGCCCCGUGUCACCUCUUCCUGGAAGCCCAGGGCUCAAAAGGUGGUGUGGGGGUUAUUGGAAAUUGGGGGGCCUGGGUCCAGAUUAGGAGCCCAAGGGGGGUUCCCAAUCCUACACUGCCACCUCCUGGGUCUAUGACCCUGGGUUGAAUACCAUCACUUCUCUGGAACCAGAGUCCAAAUGGGACAAAUGCUUCAUGAGCUCUGUCGAGAAAGACAAGCUAGCAAGAAUGACAGAUGGAUUAAGAUCCCUGUUGUGCACGAUCAAGCCAAGGGGACAGGAUGUGGUGAGGGGGAUGGUGGGGUCACUGUCCUUGCUGUGUGUGAUCACAUGGGGCAGCACAGGAGGCAUCACAACCCACGCUGUGCACAAUCAAAUGGGGGGUGAUAUUUCCUAUUCUAGGGAAAUAAAUGGGAGUCGGGACAGAUGGACCACAUGUCUGUCGUGCGGGACCGACAACGUGGCAGACAUGUGGGCAUGGGGGUGCAUGUUUGCUUGCUUGCUCACUCACCACUUGAGCUGCUGCCGGCCCCUGGUCAGGUUCUGGGCUUCGUCCCCCAUCAGGUCCAGGACGGCGCCAGCCACCUGCUGCUCAAAUGCGCCCCCAUCCCCACUGAUGCUCAGGCUGCAGAGGAAGGGUGGGGACAUGUCAUGGUUCAGUGGGGUGCCAAUCAGGCCCUACCUGCCCCACCCCAGGACCAGCUGGCCACUCACCCCCGCUCGCUGUCAAAGUCCUUGGGCCGGUAGGGGACAUAGAACUCCAGGUCCCGAUGCCGGGCCUCCUCCCUCCGCCUCUUGGCUCCCCCUUCAGGUCCUGGCUGUUGCCGCUUCCGGCCCAUGACCUCAGUGAAGACCUCCUGGCAAACGGAGGCCCAGUGUCACACCUGCGGCCCCUAGGGAAGCCACCCGGCCUCUCCACCCUGCUGUCCAGCUAGAGUUAAGGACCAGGGGCUCCCAGGACUUUAAAAGUUUGGUAUUGCCAUUUGGACACUCUGCUUCCUCAUCCACACUAUGGGAUGACCUCAGCACCAGCAGAGCAUGCUGGGUAAGGGAGGAGGAGGCUGUGGUGCCAAGUGGGGCAAGACCCAUCCUGCAGCCCAGGCUGGUUCCUCGGGCUGUGUGACUAAGGCAAGGCCCUGCCCCUCUCUGGGCCUGGCCCUGCUCUAUACAACACGGACUAGUCCAGGAGUUUUCACCUGUACUUUUUGGGUACUGAGACCUCUGUCCAAACCAAAUAUAAGAGGAACAUGCUGGUAGAUGAGUAGGCUUAGGACACUGCCCACCAGGCAGACCGGGUGCCCUUGUACCCCAGCCUGCCUUUUGGCCUGAAGGCCCCAUGUCUGAGGCUGCCUGUGUCAUGCCCUCACUGUUGCCAUGUGUCCCUGCUCGGCUUCUGUCUGCCUGCCCCAGAUCUCAGCCUGAGACUGUCAUGGGGAGGAUGACAGUGAUACAGCUGCCACUGGGGACCCUCCGGUGCUGCCCUGGAUCUGCCCUGUGGGCCCAGGACCAGUCCCAUAGUCACCUGGCCACAGUGCCCUAAUCCACAAGGUUAUGGAAAUGAGCUUCCCUGAGAUUCACUUGAUGGCAGAAGCCUAGCUUCUCAGCCAAGCUGAGCCGAUAGGAAGCUGCCUAGUUUGUGCCUGACUCCUCAGUGUGGGGCCAGCACAGCACAUCCUGUCGUGGACGCUCCGAUGCAUCUGAUUUGUCACCCCAGACCUCAGUGGGGUGGCAUGUCAUACGCAGUAGCCACCCUAAAGAUUCCGGAUCGUGAAAUGCAUCUGGCACCAGGGUUCUGGGCGAGAGAUUGUGGAGCAGUCCCAUGACCCCACUCUGCUAAGAUUGAGGCUGAGGCUCUGAGUCCUUCAUUUCCACAUCACAGGUAGAAGUGGAGUCACGGUAUCCACCCCAAGGACUCCUCAAAGCCCUGAGGAUAACUCCCCUUUGCCCUUACCCCCAGGCCCAGACUCUAGGGUCUCAAGGGUGGGGCCUGUACCUCUAUACUCUUUCCUGCUGCCUCCUCCUCCUCAUCCUCCUCGGGCUUCUCUUCCUGGGGUGCCGGGCAGCCUGGGGCUGGGCCAGCUGUGUCCUCCUGUCGCCCUCGUCGUCCCUGCUGGAAACUGGCGAUGGCCUUGUGGUCCUUCUGCCGCUUGGCGCGCAUCACCUGGCUGCUCAGGUCCCGACUGGAGGCGUUGAUCUCAAAGAUGGUCUGUGGAAGGAAGGCACGAGUCCUUCAUCCACUGGGUUCCUUCUCUUCCCAGCCCUCACCAGCUUGGGGGGCAACAUGUGGCAUUCCUCCCCAAGUCCUUUCAAUGCUAUGAGGUAGGUAUUCCCGUCACCUGCCUUUUACCAUUAGAAAGGAGGCCCAGAGAGGGCAAGUGACCAACCCAAGGUCAUACAGCUGAGACAAGCAAGAGUGGCAUUUCAAUCCUGGUUUACUUGGCUCUGAAACCAUGACACUCUCUAGCUCCUUUUCCUUGAUAUUGGCUGUCUGGCAGCCUUGCCCAACUCCUGGGUAGGUCCUUCCAGCUUCUAUGCAUGCCCGGCAUAGGCCUCAAAUGGGGUGCCCAGCGGGAAUCAAGAGGGGAUGAAAGGUGACCGAGAGCCAGUUCCAGGCCUCUGGCAGGCCCAGCACACGUCACUCCCCUCUGUGAGCCUCAGUCCACGCCUCUGGAAAUGUGAGGAAAUGCCUACCACACAAGGUAGCAGGGAUGGUUCCACAACAAGGGGCAUCUCUAGAGAUGCUCAUGAGGCAGAGCCACAGACAGAGAACCUGCAAGCUCAGAAGAAAACCCCUGCUGGGGCCCCACUUAGGGUCUGGAGCUCAGCCAGAGUCCCAGCUCCAUAGUGGCCAUAGAGUGCCCUCCCCAGCCACCCAUGUGCUCUCCCACCCCCUUCCUCACCGCCCGCGAGCGGUAGUUCUUGAUGCUGUCCACCAGCUUCAGCCGCUGCAGCUCCUUCUCCUCAAAGCGUGAGCCUGGUGGGGGUGGGGAGGAGGUGUGAGGCCAGGGAGGGGGGCUCUGUGGUGCCCACCCGCUGCCCCCGGCCAGGACUCACUGAAGAGGGGGUGGAGGCCCAGCCCUGUGAGGUCCAGCUCCUUGGCCCUCUUGAUGGACUCAGGCGAGGGUGCAGGCCGGGAGCGCACAUACUGCUGCUGGGCAUUGUCAGCCACCCGGCUCAGGCCCCCCAGCUCCAGCGAUGACGUCAGGAUGCUCUGUAGGCCACUCUCCUCAUCGUCCACCACGCUCUGUGGCACGCGGCCCAGCACACCAUCCACACCUGCCAGCACACAAGGAGCCCAUCGGGAGGCCUCCCAGCCCUGCCCUCUGCCUGCAGCCAUCCUUCCCAUCCCUGGCAGUGGAAUCGCAGAAUAAUCCCCGGUUAUGGAGCAGCUCCUCCAGCCAGCCACCUGAACCAGCUCAGCCAGGCGCCCCCAGUUCCAGCCUGAGGGCCACUGCCUGUUUUCAUAAAUAUAGUUUUCUUGGAACUCA